AUAAAUGUCAUUGAUGCUCCAUUACACACACACAGUCCCAUCUUGAACUUGACAAAGAAUGUGUUGGAGAAGUUAAAUGAAUCCAGCCAGGCUGCCUUCCUUCUUUCACCUACUUAAGACCAACUUCUGAGGCCUAGUUCCUAUGUCUGCAUCCAUUCCUUUCCUAUAACCUGAACUGGAAUGAAGACCCCUUCCGGGAGAACCACCUCCCCCACCACUUCAGUCCUCUGUACAGCAGCAACAUCAGAAGGCCAGCAGUCACCCCAACGAGGAUGCCACAGAGGCCACCUAAACUCCUGCCCCUCUCUCCACCCCACAUCACCUCAAGUGGAAACUGGCUGGGAGGCAAUUCGGAUAAGAGAUAUGGAGGCUGUGAGAUUUCAGAAAAUGAAGUUGUUCCAGAAAUAGUAUAGAUAGAUUCUCGAUCUCUCGCAGAGGUUGCCCCUUGGCCGUCAGGAGUUGGGGUCCUGCUAAGAGAAAGAAGAUGUGAAAGGAGAGAGUGACACACCUGAAGUAUGA